rnacentral:rRNA from 1 species
CCUACGGUGGGCAGCAGUGGGGAAUAUUGGGCAAUGGGCGCAAGCCUGACCCAGCAAAGCCGCGUGAAGGAAGAAGGCUUUCGGGUUGUAAACUUCUUUUGUCAGGGACGAGUAGAAGACGGUACCUGACGAAUAAGCCACAGCUAACUACGUGCCAGCAGCCGCGGGAAUACGUAGGUGGCAAGCGUUGUCCGGAUUUACUGGGUGUAAAGGGCGUGUAGCCGGGUUGACAAGUCAGAUGUGAAAUCCUGCGGCUUAACCGCAGAACUGCAUUUGAAACUGUUGAUCUUGAGUACUGUAGAGGCAGAUGGAAUUCGUAGUGUAGCGGUGAAAUGCGUAGAUAUUAGGAGGAACACCAGUGGCGAAGGCGGUCUGCUGGACAGCAACUGACGGUGAGGCGCGAAAGCGUGGGGAGCAAACAGGAGGAGAUACCCGGGUAGUC